CUUUUCGUAGCUCAGUGGUAGAGUAAUGGUUCAGAAAGCCAGGGAUCCAGAUCCAAUUUCCGGCGAGAACG
rnacentral:tRNA from 1 species